GAUGAACGCUGGCGGCGUGCCUAAUACAUGCCAGUCGAGCGAACAGACGAGGAGCUUGCUCCUCUGACGUUAGCGGCGGACGGGUGAGUAACACGUGGAUAACCUACCUAUAAGACUGGGAUAACUUCGGGAAACCGGAGCUAAUACCGGAUAAUAUAUUGAACCGCAUGGUUCAAUAGUGAAAGACGGUUUUGCUGUCACUUAUAGAUGGAUCCGCGCCGCAUUAGCUAGUUGGUAAGGUAACGGCUUACCAAGGCAACGAUGCGUAGCCGACCUGAGAGGGUGAUCGGCCACACUGGAACUGAGACACGGUCCAGACUCCUACGGGAGGCAGCAGUAGGGAAUCUUCCGCAAUGGGCGAAGGCCUGACGGAGCAACGCCGCGUGAGUGAUGAAGGUCUUCGGAUCGUAAAACUCUGUUAUUAGGGAAGAACAAAUGUGUAAGUAACUAUGCACGUCUUGACGGUACCUAAUCAGAAAGCCACGGCUAACUACG
rnacentral:rRNA from 1 species